UACGGAGGGUGCGAGCGUUAUCCGGAUUCACUGGGUUUAAAGGGUGCGUAGGUGGGUUUGUAAGUCAGUGGUGAAAUCUCCAGGCUUAACCUGGAAACUGCCAUUGAUACUAUAGAUCUUGAAUUUUCUGGAGGUAAGCGGAAUAUGUCAUGUAGCGGUGAAAUGCUUAGAUAUGACAUAGAACACCAAUUGCGAAGGCAGCUUGCUACAGGGAUAUUGACACUGAGGCGCGAAAGCGUGGGGAGCAAACAGG
rnacentral:rRNA from 1 species